AUGGAAGGCCUCCUCCACUGGGAUUUCAAGCCCGGUCUAUCAAUUGCAGAUCAGGUGCGUCGAAGGUUUGGUUCUACAGUCCAUUUCUCACCAUCUCUGGGUACCAAGGAGUUCUUCUUGGUCGUCUACUUCUCCUCGGCUUCCUUCCCUCUUUCUGAGGAAUCUGUGGGAAUCGCUUUGCAAUGUUGCAUUGGAGGUUUACCAUCGGGGAUCAAUGUCAAAUCCAUUGGUGAAAGAAGAUUCCAUUUCUCUGUGGCUUCAAAUAAGGUUGGACACUUUAUCUAUCAUCUGAAGGAUCGAAUUUGGCUGGACUUUGUUUGCCAUUUUCAACUUUUCGUUCUGCCAUGGCUUCUACUACAUGGUAUGAUCAUCAUUGGCAUUCAGAUGAAGUUAUCCAUGAGGUCUCAACUAGAUCACCUGUGGCUAUCCGAUCAAAUUUGA
rnacentral:rRNA from 1 species